GACGUAGGGCGCGAGCGUUGUCCGGAUUUAUUGGGCGUAAAGAGCUCGUAGGCGGCUCAUCGCGUCAACCGUGAAAACCAGCAGCUCAACUGUUGGCUUGCGGUUGAUACGGGUGGGCUGGAGUUCGGUAGGGGAGACUGGAAUUCCUGGUGUAGCGGUGAAAUGCGCAGAUAUCAGGAGGAACACCCGUGGCGAAGGCGGCCACCUGGGCCGACCCUGACGCUGAGGCGCGAAGGCGUGGGGAGCGAACGGG
rnacentral:rRNA from 1 species